rnacentral:RNase_P_RNA from 1 species
UGCGUACAACGUGCGAUAGCUUGCUUUUCAAGAGGAAAGUCCGGGCUGCCGUAAGACAGGGCUCCAUCUAACGGAUGGCCGGCGAAAGCCGAGGGACAGUGCAACAGAGAGUAGACGGCCGCGUAUGCGGUCACGGUGAAACGGUGGGGUAAGAGCCUACCAGUUCCGUCAGCAAUGACGGAAGCUAUGUAAACCCAGCCCGGCAGCAAGAAACAGAUGGUAAGCGUCUUACAUCGCUUUUGUUUCGCUAGAGGCGGCCGGUGACGGCUGCAGUAGAUAAAUUAUCGCUUUAACAGAACCCGGCUUACCGUUGUACGCUUAUU